AUGAACGCUGGCGGCGUGCUUAACACAUGCCAGUCGCACGAUGAAGCCCAGCUUGCUGGGUGGAUUAGUGGCGAACGGGUGAGUAACACGUGAGCAACCUGCCCCUGACUCUGGGAUAAGCGCUGGAAACGGCGUCUAAUACUGGAUAUGUCCCGUCACCGCAUGGUGUGCGGGUGGAAAGAUUUUUCGGUUGGGGAUGGGCUCGCGGCCUAUCAGCUUGUUGGUGAGGUAAUGGCUCACCAAGGCGUCGACGGGUAGCCGGCCUGAGAGGGUGACCGGCCACACUGGGACUGAGACACGGCCCAGACUCCUACGGGAGGCAGCAGUGGGGAAUAUUGCACAAUGGGCGGAAGCCUGAUGCAGCAACGCCGCGUGAGGGAUGACGGCCUUCGGGUUGUAAACCUCUUUUAGCAGGGAAGAAGCGAAAGUGACGGUACCUGCAGAAAAAGCACCGGCUAACUACGUG
rnacentral:rRNA from 1 species